CACCGGGUGAAUACAUGAGUUACUGCUGUGACGUUCAGCCAGUCCAGGCCCGGCGCAUUGAGGUCUGAACGGUGGAUCCCUUGGCCUGAAAGCUCCGCUUGGCAAAAGGCCCAGGUGACAGUAUGGAGCAGGAUCCCUCCGACAUGGGGCAGACAGGCAGCACGACCACGGCACUAGGAAAAUACAUUCUCCUUGUGUGGAAGAUGCUUUCCGGGUCAGUUCGAAUGCAGGCGCAACAAUUGGAAACGGGAUCACCCCUUAGGAGAAUGUUCCCUGGCGGUGUUAAAGAAUUUGAUUCCAGAACACUAUUUCCGGUUUACUUGGGAUGGCAAACCUAGCUGUUUGUUUCUUUUGCAUUCCUGAGAUUUCCUCUAAUUCUCCAUCCAGCUAAGAUUUGUCCUUAUUGGUUCACACUGAAAUGUAGUUCUAUUAAUAAACAUCCACAAAACCAAA